rfam:Aspergillus rambellii strain SRRC1468 contig00455, whole genome shotgun sequence.
GGUGCUGUAGUGUAGUGGUGAUCAUAAUUCGUUGUGGCCGAAUUGACCUGGGUUCGAUUCCCAGCAGCGCCA